rnacentral:rRNA from 1 species
UCGAGAGUUUGAUCCUGGCUCAGGAUGAACGCUAGCGGCAGGCUUAACACAUGCAAGUCGAGGGGUAUAGUUCUUCGGAACUAGAGACCGGCGCACGGGUGCGUAACGCGUAUGCAAUCUACCUUUUACAGAGGGAUAGCCCCAGAGAAAUUUGGAUUAAUACCUCAUAGUAUGUGAGAAUCGCAUGGUUUUCACAUUAAAGUUCCAACGGUAAAAGAUGAGCAUGCGUCCCAUUAGCUAGAUGGUAAGGUAACGG